GUAAAUACUAUCGCAGCGAUCUCGGAAGAACUGCAGGGCUGUUACUUGUCUAAUUUUCUCGUUAGCAGCCUUUA
rnacentral:lncRNA from 1 species